rnacentral:rRNA from 1 species
AAUGGGCGAGAGCCUGACGGAGCAACGCCGCGUGAGGGAUGAAGGCCUCUGGGCUGUAAACCUCUUUUAUCAAGGAAGAAGAUCUGACGGUACUUGAUGAAUAAGCCACGGCUAAUUCCGUGCCAGCAGCCGCGGUAAUACGGGAGUGGCAAGCGUUAUCCGGAAUUAUUGGGCGUAAAGCGUCCGCAGGCGGCCCUUCAAGUCUGCUGUUAAAAAGUGGAGCUUAACUCCAUCAUGGCAGUGGAAACUGUUGGGCUUGAGUGUGGUAGGGGCAGAGGGAAUUCCCGGUGUAGCGGUGAAAUGCGUAGAUAUCGGGAAGAACACCAGUGGCGAAGGCGCUCUGCUGGGCCAUCACUGACGCUCAUGGACGAAAGCCAGGGGAGCGAAAGGGAUU